rnacentral:ncRNA from 1 species
GUCGUGAGGCAGGGUCUGAAGGAAGCUGGAGGCAAAACCGCGAGCCUACGGACAGGAACCGCAUAUGAGGCUGACGGCGUGGAUGAGUCUGCAAAAUAAGACGAAAUCCGGAGCUGAGCGCCGGCAGUAGAUGCGGAGGCUGCAUGCGGGGAAGGUUGA